rnacentral:lncRNA from 1 species
AAUAAAAAAUUAAACAUUUCGCCACCUCUUACACCCAUCGAGGACACUCACAAACAUUGGGGUCCUGAGACUGCAAAGUGCGGACUGGAAAUAAUUUUCGUAAUUCCCGCCAAAAUGCUCCAAAAUUUCCAUGGUUCAUUAUGUACGUGAAAGGGCUCCUGUGAAAUUUCUUGACGAGGUAAUGUAUUCCAACGGCAUAAUUUAAAACUAAACACUGAACCAUGUUAAUUUGCUCCAAACUGGUACUUUUUAACUUUUAUUCGGUUUCCAGAAGUUCUUUCAAUGGACCAAUUUCAUCUUUUAUAUGGUGUAUAGACUGGAAUGUAUGUAUACGCUUACAAAAAUACGUCAAAGUUGACAAAUCAUUUAUUAUACAUUUACGUAAUUAACUUUAAAACACUAAUAACUGUGCAGUGACGAAGGACCUCCUCAAGUGGAUAAUGAAUUGUCAUCUUUGGGAAAAUAUGACGUGAAAAAAAAAAAAUGCGGCAUACAUGUUCAUUCAGCCUUCUAUGUAGCAUGAAAAAGUCCAUUUCAUUGCAAGCCACAGAAACUACUAUAAUUACUGAAAUCAAUCAAUGCCAUGUCUUGGUUCGUCACCAAACAAACAAGGCACGAUUUUACGUAAUGUAUUCAUGUGAAGUUCUACUAUUGCUCUUAAGAUAGCAACGUUAAUGUUAUUACUGGAACAGCCUUCUCAUGCUUUACUCAUGAAGGUUCUGUAGAAAACAGCGGCAACAAGUAAUUGUAAAAGUAAAGGUGAACCUCGGUUACUGUUACAAUCUGAGAUGCCCGGAAACACUCACGUGGUACAAUACGUUCAAAAAAAAGGUUAAAAAAAAAAAGGUUCAAAUGUUGUUUUUAGUGGUCAAUGCGCUUAGCUACACCCAGCUAGUUGUACACGGAAUUCUAUUACAAGGUUUAUACAGAAGCUGACAUAAGGGAGACAUAUCACUUGUGCCAUUGUUUAUUUACAUGUAGAAGCAAUUGAAGUGCAAAGCAACAACAUUUAUUGUAAAAUUAUAGUUAAUGUAAAAUACUUUGCCAUUCAUUUAAUUAAGCAUAUUCAUUUAAUUAAGCAUGUUGACAUGGGGGCUCAUACAGAAAUUCUUCAAGAACGCGCCUUCUGUAACGUGUAUACCAAACCAGUAAAUAGUGUCUUUGGCUUUUUUAGCAGCUCCACUCCGGUAUUACGUGAAUGUUACUUGAUAAUUCUUUUACAGUGGAGACUACCAUUAAUUAAAAAACAGUAAUAUUUUCACUCUAGUAUUCACUGGUGUGGUGUACAUUACAUGUAAAACAGUGUAUAUUGAAAUGUGAAGUUGGUAAAUGAUUGAGAACAUUCAUCAGGUAUUCUCCAUCAUUCACCAACUCACAGUCUUUUGAUGCACCUAUCCCCAAGGGAAAGUCUAUCUCAAGAGAGAAAAACAUGCACAAGAAAAUACCACCUGCACACGCUAGUUCAAUAGACACAGCCAGCCAUGUGAACAUCAGGUGUUACUACAGCCACUUUCUUUUGGAAACAACAAAAUCUUGCUUAGAAAGUUUCUUUAUUUACCCCAAUAAUGGAAUUAGUCUUCAGUGGCAGUAGAAAGGAGCAUGAGCUUCCACUCUACAUGUACCUCAUUUAAUAAUCAACAAUCCUGACAAUUACACUUAGGUACCAUCUUGCUCUAGCUACAUGGAACUUAAGCCUACUUUCUACAUAAUUGCUGUUAGCAACACAGCUGAGCACUUGUGCCACUAAAUUCCUGUUUCAUUUUAAAUGUCAACUGAUAAGUACGAACACAAACGUGA